CUAAAAGCAGCCUGUUGGUAGGAAAUAGCUAACAGAGUCAGCUUUGCUCUGCAUUGAACUACAGGAAAACCCUCCACUGAUUUUCUUAUUAGACCCCAGAUGUGCUACCCCAGACUUCUGCACACCCCCAAUUAAGUCAAUGGUGCUCCUCAAUGGUACAUCCCAUGAUAUCUAUUUGUCAAAGCCAGUUCCUUUGACUAUGUGCUGGGGUAAAGAAAGUCAUCCCUCCACUACUAGGUUGCACUUCUCUAUUGAAACCGCCAUGGGACUACUCACAUGAGGAAUAGCUACAGAAUUUGUGUCUUUUGAUCUGGAGCAGGUGAUAGGAGGAUGCCUCCAAAUGAUCAGAGCGAGAGUAAUGGCAGUUCUGGAGAAAAACAUGAGUUAUGGCUUCCAGUAUGGAGGGAAAAGUGACUGAGUGUUUAUCCAGAGAGGAGGGUUAAACUGCAUACAAAGGCAGGGACUUGCAGUUUGCAAACAGACAAAUUGGAACCUGUUCUAAAAGUGAAUCAUCAGAACAUGAAAACACUCUUGGUCGAAAUAGGAGAAAAAACAGUUAAUUUCAAUCAUGAUGACAGUUUUUUGGUGAACAAUAGUCUCCCUGAGUUGACAUGGAGAAGUAAUGAAUGAAUGAAAGGAGAACUGAGUCACAGCUGCACUUUGCAAUCACUUUUGAACAUCUACACUCUUCUAGCCAAAAUACUAUUAAUACGUGUGUCAGCACAGUGAGUGAAUCUCAUAGUGUGAACGCAUUGGAACAGUUCAGGAAAGAAAAUGAAGAAUAUCCUCAGGGACAGACUUUUCUUUUUCUCUGAGAGACUCUUCAUUAUUCAGGCAUUGUGAUACUUUUCCUUUAUUUGUGUAAAGAUUAAAUUGCACAUGAUUUCUAAUGUUUCUGCUACUCCAACUGUCAUAGGUCGAUGACCUUCAUGGAAGUGAGAUAAUAGAUACAUCGUCUGUUGUUUGGGCUAGUGCUGUUCCUCCACAGCCCAGUACUUUCCUAUUGUUAUAAGUCGAAAGCAAUUAAAUAAAAAUACAAGAUAAGGCUUCUCAAGUAUCUUUAGUAUUUAAUAUGUGCCUUUAUGUGGCUGUCAUUAGCAUUAAUAUGAGAUAUUAUCUAAUGUUAUAAUGAGACCUAAAAGCAUGCAUUGGGAAUCUUCUACAUGGGAGAGACAAAAAAGUUAAUGAAGGAGAUGUCCAUCUGGACAGGUAUUUAAUACUGCAACUUCUGGAAAUGAGCUCUCCAAUUGUUUAAAUCUUGUAACCCAAAGACUCCUAUUUGGGGGUGGGGUGUAUGUGUAAACGUGUGUUGUCAUGUUCAAGUCAUUUCACUAAGCAUUCUUCAUACUCAGACUACAUUUUCCAGUCAAUCUGCACAUUAAAAUAAUAUUGCAUAUAUCAAACUGUAAAUAUAGAGGUUUUAAAAAAUGAGUGCCUUCCACAGUGAUUUUUGUGUAAUGCAUCCUUUGAUCUCAUACAAAAAACUGUUUGAUAGUUGUUUCUCUUUUAUGCUCCAAUGACUAUCUAUUUAUAAUCAUUGUACAGCAGCUUUUCUUCCCCCUGUUGAUGGAAUAUGACUACCCCUGACUUUUGUUUAGUUUCUUCUUAGUAAUUGAAGUAGGUGCAUCAAGAAUUGAGCUAAGAGAACUCUGGCAAAAAUAUAGUUUUUUUGUGAAAGUGAAAUGCAAUUGAGACAGAGACAGUGGUUGUGACACAGUGUAGAAUAGCACAGAUAUGAUAG